rnacentral:rRNA from 1 species
GGUGUGCUAGGCGAGUAUCCGAAGGCGUUCGGGAGAACCCUCGUGAAGGAACUCGGCAAAAUGACCCCGUACCUUCGGUACAAGGGGUGCUCUCCGUAAGGAGAGCCGCAGAGAAUCGGCUCUAGCGACUGUUUAUCAAAAACACAGGACUCUGCCAACUCGCAAGAGGACGUAUAGAGUCUGACGCCUGCUCGGUGUCGGUAGGUUAAGGGAGCCGAUGAGGCGCGAGCCGAAGUUGGCGACCGAAGCCCCGAUAAACGGCGGCCGUAACUAUGACGGUCCUAAGGUAGCGAAGUUCCUUGUCGGGUAAGUUCCGACCUGCAUGAAUGGCGUAACGACUGGAGCACUGUCUCCACGAGGGACCCGGUGAAACUGUAGCCGUGGUGAAGAUGCCACGUACCCGCGGUCAGACGGAAAGACCCCGUGAACCUUUACUGCAGGUUGGCAUUGGGUCAGCGUCCUUUCUGUGUAGCAUAGGUGGGAGGCCGUGAUCCGGCGGCGCCAGCCGUCGGGGAGCCAUCGGUGAAAUACCACCCUGAAAUGACUCUGAUCCUCACCGGUCCGUAGCCCGGGCCGGGACCAUGCUCAUCGGGCAGUUUGACUGGGGCGGUCUCCUCCCAAAGAGUAACGGAGGAGUGCAAUGGUACCCUCGGCCAGGUCGGCAAUCUGGCAACAUGAGCGCAAACGUAGAAGGGUGCCUGACUGCGAGACCCAUCAGUCGAGCAGGGACGAAAGUCGGCGUUAGUGAUCCGGCGGUGCUGGAUGGAAAGGCCGUCGCUCAACAGAUAAAAGGUACUCCGGGGAUAACAGGCUGAUCUCCCCCGAGCGUCCAUAGCGGCGGGGAGGUUUGGCACCUCGAUGUCGGCUCAUCGCAUCCUGGGGCUGGAGAAGGUCCCAAGGGUUUGGCUGUUCGCCAAUGAAAGUGGUACGCGAGCUGGGUUCAGACCGUCGUGAGACAGGUCGGUCCCUAUCUGCCGUGGGCGGAGGAAACUUGCGAAGGGUCUCCCCUAGUACGAGAGGAUUGGGGAGGACCGACCUCUGGUGUACCGGCUGUCCCGCUCGGGGCAUCGCCGGGUAGCUAGGUCGGGAAAGGAUAAGCGCUGAAGGCAUCUAAGCGCGAAGCCCUCUUCAAGACGAGGUUUCCAGCACGCAAGUGCGAAGGCUCCUGGAAGACGACCAGGUCGAUAGGCCGGGAGUGCACGGCGAGCGAUCGCCGCAGCCGACCGGUCCUAACAGCCGAUCGCUUGACCAC